UACGUAGGGUGCGAGCGUUGUCCGGAAUUAUUGGGCGUAAAGAGCUCGUAGGCGGUGUGUCGCGUCGGUCGUGAAAACUUGGGGCUUAACCCUGAGCUUGCGGUCGAUACGGGCAUCACUGGAGUUCGGCAGGGGAGACUGGAAUUCCUGGUGUAGCGGUGAAAUGCGCAGAUAUCAGGAGGAACGCCGGUGGCGAAGGCGGGUCUCUGGGCCACUACUGACGCUGAGAAGCGAAAGCAUGGGGAGCGAACAGG
rnacentral:rRNA from 1 species